rnacentral:ncRNA from 1 species
ACUGUGGACUGCACAAAAAAUAUGAGUAGCUCAGGCAAAAGUAUGCAGGAUGAAACAGUAA